rnacentral:lncRNA from 1 species
AGUAACUCUCUAGGCCUGGGUACCGGAGGGAGGGAGGCGGGCAGAGGAGGGGAGAUGGGCACCCCCAGUUUUUCCAUCCUCCUCAUUCGUCUAGGGGCACCCGAAUCCCCUAUUCCUUAUUUCCCCUAUCACUCAGGCACUGGCAGGGUCCUUUUCCCACUCCUGUUGGCCGCCGCGGCUCCAAAGCGAGCUGGGCAGAUGUGCCUGAGACAGGUUUGACCAGGCAACUGAAAAUAUAUCCCUAAGAGAAGACAAAACAAAGAUAUGAAAGGAACACACUUCCCUGACUGACUAGGAGGAACAGAGCUGCCUGCUGACUGGAACCGCUUCCUCCCAGACUAAGGUUUCCCAGAGGAAGAGAGAGAAUUUGGACAAAUGAAUGAGGAACAACGCUCUCCUGAGGGUUUUCUUUAAGGGGCAAGGAUCAAUGCCUCUAGAUCCUUUGAAAGCAGAGUUAAGAGGCAGUGCAGGAAGGCACAGCAGGAAGGUUCAUGGUUAGACUACAGAGAAGGAAGCAGCCACUGCUGGGGACCUACCCUGUGCUGGUCACUGACAAGCUGUCUCAUUAAACCUUCCCGGACCCUCAA